CUUGUCUGUGAAAAACAUGCAGGUUUUUUUUUUUUUUUAUUGUUAAAUUAUUUUGUUGUGCUCUGUAUCUGAGUUUUUUUUAAUCAUUCUGUAAGGGAAAGUAAUGGCCAGGUUUGUCACAGAAUGGCAGUCAUUUUCUUGAGCUGAGGCUCCAAUUUAAGUGCCUCUUUUAAGGUGUUUGCCUCUGGGAAGCUGAACCAUAUUGAAAAAAGAUUUAUCCCAUCUGCCUUCUCUUCUUUCCAGAACAAUCAAGAUCUUUUGUAACUAAAUCAUCAAAGCUAUUCUCAAUUAAGUAAUGUGUGAUGCAUGGGUCUUCUAGGUGGUUCUGAGUGGUUGUGCAAACUCCUGAAACUGUUGAUGCAGUAUUUUCCCAGAAACAGACUCUCUGAAACCUGCUUGUUUAAAUGUUAAUGGUUAGAGUUCCUCUGAUUUGUUUCAAGGAGUAAAAUAAACAUUUGACUAUUACUA